UCUCUGGACCCCCGCACUCCACCAAUAUGCGUUGAUAUGCAAACGUCUUUGCACCCCGCACCACACAAUAUAUACGUCGCUAGCUCAAACGUCUCUGGGACCCCGUACUCAUCACAUAUGCGUCGCUAGCUCAGAUGUCUAUGUGCCCCCGCACUCUAUACGUCGCUAGCUCAGAUUUCUCUGGCCCCCGUACUCUAUACGUCACUAGCUCAGAUUUCUUUGGCCCCCGUACUCAUAUGUGUCGCUAGCCCAGAUCUUUCUGGCCCCUGCACUCAUCACAUAGUCCCUACUAUAUAACUAUAUAUAUAUAUAACAGUCUUUAACAUCAAUCAUUUCACACAACCGUUGAAUCCUCUAUUAUCAUAUUUCCAGUUUAACAAUCAAAAAUAAUAAUAAACAAACAAAACUUUCAAACAGACUCGAUUCACAGAGACUGAUCAUGUUUCGAAACUAUACUUUCCAUAAUAGUAGUACUAAACUAGCUCCAGAUUUAACAAAGUAGCCCUCACCUUAGUCACUGGCUGGAAUGAUCGACGGGAGAUGGUCAACUUCAACACAAGAGUCAACAACUUAGUCUCAGAGUCUCAGAAAAUAUCCAUUUUUGGAAACUUUCCUAAAAUAGCAACUUUCCUAAAAUAGAAACUUCCCUAAUAUAAUUUAUUUCCUAAAUUAGAAACUUUCCUAAAAUAUUCCUAUAACUAGAAAUAAGGAGGCGACAAACUUAC
rnacentral:lncRNA from 1 species